rnacentral:rRNA from 1 species
AGAUUGAACGCUGGCGGCAGGCCUAACACAUGCAAGUCGAGCGGUAGAGAGGUGCUUGCACCUCUUGAGAGCGGCGGACGGGUGAGUAAUGCCUAGGAAUCUGCCUAGUGGUGGGGGAUAACGUUCGGAAACGGACGCUAAUACCGCAUACGUCCUACGGGAGAAAGCGGGGACCUUCGGGCCUCGCGCCAUUAGAUGAGCCUAGGUCGGAUUAGCUAGUUGGUGAGGUAAUGGCUCACCAAGGCGACGAUCCGUAACUGGUCUGAGAGGAUGAUCAGUCACACUGGAACUGAGACACGGUCCAGACUCCGUAACGGGCGGCAGCCAGGUGGGGGAAAUAGUAGGUAACAAGUAGGGACGAAA